rnacentral:rRNA from 1 species
UACGGAGGGGGCAAGCGUUAUUCGGAAUCAUUGGGCGUAAAGAGUUCGUAGGCGGGGCGCUCAGUCCGACGUGAAAGCCACCGGCUCAACCGGUGACGGCCGUUGGAUACUGGCGCUCUCGAGCCGGGCAGAGGUCGGCGGAAUUCCAGGUGUAGCGGUGGAAUGCUUAGAUAUCUGGAAGAACACCAGUGGCGAAGGCGGCCGACUGGGCCCGAGCUGACGCUGAGGAACGAAAGCCAGGGGAGCGAACGGG